rnacentral:misc_RNA from 1 species
AUAUACAUCACAUUUUUUUCUCCAAUUUUUUUGUUUUUCCUUUCUAUAAUGGCUGGAAUGUGUUGUGGAGUUAAUAUAGCCGAAACUGAGGCUACUACACCAGUUGAGCCUAGUUCAGAAUCUGCGAGGAGAAGAAGAAUGGAAAUUCAUCAAUUCCGUUUUGUACCUACCGAUGUUGCAGCUGCAACACAGGAAAAAAAUGGACGGAAAAGGCAUAAGAUUGACAAAGUUAUUGAUAAUAACAAGAGGCAGAAAUUGGAAAGCAGUGUAACGAUUUCGUUGGCGGUAACUGAUGAAAGGAAUGAAAAUGAAGUGUUGGAUCUGUCUGAAUCUGGUUCUCAAUCUGUUGAAAUUGAGCCUGAUUUACCCAAAUAUGGGAUGACUUCUGUAUGUGGAAGAAGAAGAGAUAUGGAAGAUGCGGUUUCGAUUCAUCCUUUGUUUUGCAAAGAGAAUAGUGAAAACUCAAGCAAUUUACAUUUCUUCGGUGUUUAUGAUGGCCAUGGCUGUUCUCAUGUGGCGAUGAAGUGUAAA